ensembl:lncRNA
CCAAAAAAUGACUCGUACUUCCGCUUCAUAGCGUCUUUACACUGAACGCCACUGUAAACUGAAUCGGGAUGCUUGGUAGGUUAGCAGUGUGUUCGUUCGCCGAGCUUCCGCUGCGAUCAUCUUCCGCUCAGUUGUUCUUUUAGCAUUGCCAGUUUGUGUUCCGUUGCUACGAAAGCUUUCACUCGCCGCUUAGCUUCACUGGAGGAUCAUUUCUUCAGCAUUCUUUCAGUCAGUAGUUUCAGUCACGUAUCUGGUUUAGCUCAGUAGUUCCGUUGGUCUUCCAGUGUAGAGGAGUUUUGCUUGUGUAACUUUUGCUCGCUAGUUUCCUUGCUAGGUUUUGCUCAGCGACUUGCUCUCUCUUGCUAGUUUCUCGCUUAAUGUUUGGUUUUCUUUUGCGAGUUUAGAGUUAUCUGCCCCCCCCCUUUUUUUUGCUUGUUUGUUUGUUUUGAGCAAGGUUAGUUUUCUUGCCCUGAUUAGUUUCACCCCUCCCCCUCCCCCAGGGUUAGCUUUCUCUCACCGGAUUAGCUUUCUCAGCUCUCGCUAGUUCUGAAUGGUUUGCUGGCAUCGUCUCGAAACGCGUUUCUAGUGAAGCGGAAACGAACAGCGUGUGAUUAUAAAACGAUCGUAGAGACGCUUUCUGGAGGUACGCUUGACGUUUUUACUGCGUUUUUCUCUCUCUUCAACUUCCUGUUGAAAACGAGCGAUCGGGAGCUCAGAACAAAACAUUUAUUACACGACAUCAGUGUGAAGUUUACACCAUUAUUAAAGCUGUUUUCACUUCAUUCUCACCGACGGCUUCGGUGAUCUUUCAGGCUCUUCGUAGGUGUGUGAGAGAGAGAGACGACACGUCUGAGCACGCACUAAUCUCUCUCUCUCUCUCUCUCUCACACACACACACACACACCCAAACACUUACACACACACUUGGCUAUAAUCAGAUGUUGAUGUGUGCUUCGUAAAUGUUUUGUGUUUGUUGUUUCUGUUGCUCGUCUUUUUUCAUUUGGUGUUUUCCUUUCCAGCGCCUCGGGGGCUCUGUGUGCCUCCUGUUUUCUGUUUCUAACUAAAACAUCAGACGUUUUCAGAAACAUCUCAAACGUUACAACGCACAGCGUCUGUUAUAGCGAGACCGUUUGGUCUGCGGGUGUUUAAUUUAACCCGAACGCUCGUGUUUGCGGUGUUUAUCCGCGGUUUCCGAACGCUAAGACCGACAGAGAGUGUUCUGAGAGAGCGUUUAUUUACGUAACGUCAAUUACGUGAACACGUCCGCCUCCUUUGUAGUUCACGCGAACUUGAAUCUUCGUCUAUCUGGGGCGGUCGUGUGAGAGAAAUUCGACUAACGUGACGAAUCGGGUCGCUAACGUCAUACGGCGGAUGUUUGUACAGCGUUGCAGGAACGUUAUCAUUGGAACGCUACCCUUAGCGUAACCAUUUGUAGUCAUUAGCGUGUUAACGACGCUCAGUUUGGUCUCUAAGUGCGUGGAGUGAGUUCUGUCAAACACGAGGGUCAUUUGGGAUAUGCCUUUAAACAAACAAACAAACAAACAAACAAAUGAGUGUGUGUGUGCGUUUUAUAUCCUGAAACAUGACGCUGCAACACUGAGGAAACGGAAACCAGGAAACUAGCAAAGAAAACGAAUGUUUUAUUUCAGUAAAAAUGAAAUGAAAAACUAAACGAAAUCACCAUGCAUCAGCACUUGUUCAUAUCUCAGGACGUUUUCUGACCUUUUUUAUUUGAAUUGUUAUUCAAAAAUAAUAAAUAAAAACCACAAAACAAAGACUUAAAGUAAACACGUUUUCAGAGAUACACCCGCGUAGUCGCCGUGGUGAUGCUGGUUCGAAACAUAAACAGAUAUUCUGUUGGCCGUUAAGCUUGGCAGCCCAGCGACGGAGCGUUUUCAUUUAAUUUAAUCGGACAAAGAGAAAUUUUUCCAGACUUGAAGGAAGUUUGGGCAAAAAAUGACUCACUUCCUGUUUCUGUCCAAUCUCCUCGAUCGGCCCACACGUUUUUGUUUCCUCUUUAUUUUUCUGUACUGGGUUUAUGAGUCUAACGUAUCUGACACACCUAACACGUCAUAUAAACUUAUAACCUGCAGCUUUAGCGUCUGCGUGUCUGAAUUAAACCUCGUGAUGAAGUCAAACGCCAAAUUUCCCCCAAAACCUUUACGAGCUGAAACUCUUAACUCCGCAGUUACGAGUCUGUAGCGCUUUCUCGGGCUGUGUGACACCGAUCCCCCCCAUCUCCUCGUCUCCUCGUCCUCUCGUCAGGAAUGUGCACUCAGGCAGGACGAGACUUGCUUUUCCCCGAGCCGCCUGGAGCUGCGCAAUCUUCUCCUCUUCCCGUUUACAGCCUGCAAGUUCCAUCAGGUCCUCCUCACCGACUCCGCAUGAGAUCUCGGGGCUUUUCGAUCACACAGUGCACAAAAAUUUCAAAUCCGGCCCCGAUGCGAUGUUCGUGAUCCUCAUACGGCCCUGUAGUGGACCUGUACGCUCACCCGGCCACUUUAUUAGAAAUAUCAGCCCACCGAUGCUCUCAGAGCAGCCUCAGGUCUUCAAGGCAUGGGUUCCACAAAGUGUCGGGAAUGUUUCUUUGAGGAAAUGUUUCUCCACGUCGAGCGUUUCAUUAUAUCUGUUCCCGACGCGUGUGUAACGUGUGUGACUGGCUGAGAACCAAAGGAAUAUUCCCGACGCUGGUUUAGCAGUCUUGUGGGAAGUGUUGUGUCGUUACAGGAGAAGAAUCCACGCUCCGGUCGUGUGUCGCAACCCGACGACGAGCCGACGGGUCCGGUUUAUAAUUGACGCAGGACUUCGCGUGCGAGCGGCGAAGCAGCGGCGUCGUUCACACACUACCUGCGUAUCUCACGCACGUCUGGAGGGUUGAAAAGCGACAGCCGCUGUAGCUGCGCGUCGGGUUUCCGAGUCGACGUGUAAAAUGUUUAACGACUCCGUCGAGCACCGUGUCUCUCUUUAAAACUUUCCGCCGUCGUCGUGACUGUCGUCAUGACCCGCGUCUCAAAUAGAAAACUCCGAGCUUACUCUCAAAAGCAUCCAGUAAGCCGGAAAAGCCAGACGUCCGGUAGACGAAACUGAGCUUUCUGUAGAUUUGAUGGCGAAAGAACUGGACUUAACAGGAAACCCGGUUAGUGCUGGAUCGCUCGGUUGGGAUUAAGGAGGCGGGUGUGUGCUGAGAAAUCAUUCCCAGUCUGAUCUCUUCACACAGCGCAGGAUCCAGGGGUUCUGACCCAGCGGAAAUCCAGACCAAGCGACGUCCGGUUAACGAUGGUCAAGGUCACAGCAAGGUCUGGAAUAUUCUUUCUUCGGUAGCUUCCUUCCUGUCUGAAGUAUCUCCUGAGUAGACCUGCUGGUGGAGGAGGAAUCCCCUGCUGUGGCGUUUGACCUGCUGUGGAUGAAGAUCAGUAACAUCUAAACUUUAUCUCACCUCCUGUAAUAAAUAUUCCACGCCUAUUUAUUACAAUAUUACACGCGUGAAUUAAAUAUGACCUGCACACACCCGGGGAAAGUGCAGAGUCUGUGUGUGCAGCUGAAUAAUCCAGAGAAAACUCGUGUUUGCACACACACACACACACACACACACACACACACACACACACACACACCAGGCUGUGGGAUUUGAUCCGCUCCCCCGCCGGGGUUCGAGGCCGUGUUCUUCGCGGCGUGUGUUUGUCGUGUGGAUGUUGCACACACUGAGAUGAUGAGAAGGUUGUGAAGAAUGAGCUGCUCUCUCCUGACUCCAUCAAUACGCAGUGUUUGUUUUUUUUUCUUCAGGAGUAAUUUCCUGGAGGAAUCGAUGGCGGUCCACGCGGCUAUUCAUCACUAAUAAGGACGUCCGUCUCAGCGGGAACACGGCGUCCCGCUGCUCUGAGAGCUUUGCUGCUGUUUUUUAUGGACUUUUUGGAGUUUUAGAGAAGAAAAAGCCUUUGGAUUUAUUUUAAAAAAAAGAAUAUUAGUCUGACAAAACGGACAUGGAGAACCUACGGGAAAGAAGGAGAACUGCACGCGUUCACAUUCUGUCCUCCGUCCCUGGUCAUGUAGGAGUCAGAAUCUUUUUAACGUCACGUCCAGACGAACUUGUCUCACGUGGGCGUGGCUUGCCUAGCAUUUUAUUUUUAGUUCUGAUAAAAAUAUUAAUAGCUAGAUGACUUCUAAAGCUAGCUCGUUAAACACAAAUUAAACAACGCAUAAAUCAGCUGUUUGAUAUGCUGUACAUGUUACGCUCUCGGCUUUGUUAUCAGAUUAGAUUAGAUUAGAUUAGAUUAGCUACCUGUAUUUGCUUCGAACACUCACCAGAAGCAACAGCGAUCUCUGUAACCUCCUUCCAAGCUUUUAAAAAAAAAAAUAAAAAAUUCAUAACAUUUCUGUACAUAUUUAAUGAGAGGUCAUCGUGUAUGACCAGAACAAAUGAAAUGGCGGUUACAUUUUUUUCUGCAUCACAGAGUAAAAGGGAAAUAAUUGCAGGUAGGAACUAGUAGUAGUUUUGAGUGGGGAACCGAAGAAACGUCGCACCACGUGCUCCACAGGAUCGGUCCGAGGAGUCGAUCGAAAUAAUCACUUUACACCGUCAGAGACUUGAGAAAAGUUAACGAGUAACACGUUGUUCACGAGCGAAUCGACUCUUUGAAUCGCCUCUUUUAGGUGAAGCUUGAGGGUCGACUCACAUACACAGCAGUUUCCGUUUCUGUCACAGGCAAGGAAGAAUAAUUCUUCACUGGUCAAAAGAAAAAAAUGGCAUUUAUUUUUUUAAAAAUGGCAGUGAGCCGUUUGAGAUUUGAACGACUCGACUCUUAUUGGUGAGUCAAAUGAUCUGAAUCACUGAAAAUUUCCUGAAUUUCCGGUUUUAUCAUCUGAUAUGAAACACACUUAGGUUUGAUAAAAAUGGCAGACUGGAUAAUUCUCGUAUCACGACAAGUUCCUAGUCCUGAUCCACAGAAGUAAAAGGUUCCAGGAACUAAAAUCAGUCUGCGAAGUAAUUUCAAAGGCCAAAAAAGAGAGAUUUUUCUGUGUUAAUCAUAAUGUUUAAAUAACAAAAUAGUUUUUUUAUCAAGCACAUCGUCAUAGUGAUGCUGAUACGAGCGCUGUAGACGGAGAGCGCCUCCUGUUGGUGAGUCUGAGCACUACAGGCUCCACAGGACCGGGCGUGGCUGCUGGAACCAGAUGAUGAAGUCCUCUCAGUGUUUUACUGACUGAUCUGAAAUUCUGUCAUGAAUAUAUAAAUAUUAUAUAAAUAAAUUCAUGAAAGAAAUGUGACUGUACUCUGAUAUAAAAUAAAUAAAUACAAUUUCACCGUGUCAGUUAGAGCCGAGUGUAAAAAUGUGCACCCCCCGAGGUCAAAAUUAAGAGGACAACGAUAUUUACUAUCUUCAGACCUUCCUUUUCUGCCCCAAGUUUUUUCUUUUCUUUUUCUUUUUUUUAGGUCCAUCUUUAAUUGUGCUUGUGAAGAUGGAUAGACUCGUUCUGAUUAUCCCUCCAUUCUGGAGAUUGAUGCUAAUUGAAAAAAUUGGAAAAUGGUCAUUGGAGUGGGAGACUAAACGACAGAUUCCAUUAAUAACCCAAUCUGUCUCGCUAAUUUCUGUACAGAGAGAGAGAGAGAUGAGGGAGAGAGAGAGAGGGAGGGGAGAGAGAGA